rnacentral:rRNA from 1 species
GACGAACGCUGGCGGCGUGCCUAAUACAUGCAAGUCGAGCGAAUCAAUGGGAGCUUGCUCCCUGAGAUUAGCGGCGGACGGGUGAGUAACACGUGGGUAACCUGCCUGUAAGACUGGGAUAACUUCGGGAAACCGGAGCUAAUACCGGAUACGUUCUUUUCUCGCAUGAGAAGAGAUGGAAAGAUGGUUCUGCUAUCACUUACAGAUUGACCCGCGGCGCAUUAGCUAGUUGGUGAGGUAACGGCUCACCAAGGCGACGAUGCGUAGCCGACCUGAGAGGGUGAUCGGCCACACUGGGACUGAGACACGGCCCAGACUCCUACGGGAGGCAGCAGUAGGGAAUCUUCCGCAAUGGACGAAAGUCUGACGGAGCAACGCCGCGUGAGCGAAGAAGGCCUUCGGGUCGUAAAGCUCUGUUGUUAGGGAAGAACAAGUACGAGAGUAACUGCUCAUACCUUGACGGUACCUAACCAGAAAGCCACGGCUAACUACGUGCCAGCCGCCGCAGUAA